CACAGAUUCACAGUCAUCCACAUCUGUGUAGGGACGAUAUUUGGCUUUAUUCUAAUUAUUUUUAUUUAUUUAUUUGAUAGGGACAGGGCACAUUAAUGAGCGUCUAUUUAGGCAGCAAUAGAUGCAAAUAUGCCAGAUUAUGACAACAAUGCUGAUUUACAUCCGCAGUCCCUGGGCAGAUUAAAAAAACAGUGAAACAUAGGACAGUAGGUCACAACAAAAGGACGAUAGGUCACAACAAAAGGACGAUAGGUCACAACAAAAGGACGAUAGGCCACAACAAAAGGACGAUAGGUCACAACAAAAGGACGAUAGGUCACAACAAAAGGACGAUAGGCCACAACAAAAGGACGAUAGGUCACAACAAAAGGACGAUAGGUCACAACAAAAGGACGAUAGGUCACAACAAAAGGACGAUAGGUCACAACAAAAGGACGAUAGGUCACAAUAAAAGGACGAUAGGUCACAACGAAAGGACGAUAGGUCACAACGAAAGGACGAUAGGUCACAACAAAAGGACGAUAGGUCACAACGAAAGGACGAUAGGUCACAACGAAAGGACGAUAGGUCACAACGAAAGGACGAUAGGUCACAACAAAAGGACGAUAGG